GCCCGCAGUGGGGCUGGCGGCCGGCGGUUGGGGGCUGAGGGGCGGCGGGGGGAGGCUGCGCUCCGAAACGAUGGUGCCUGCAAAAAGGGGGGGUCAGCAAGGAGCCCCCCCCCCCCCUUUUUGCCCCCAAAAAAGGGGCCCCCCCCCGGGGGGGGGGGGCGCUCACCGAAGCUCUCGGCGCUCUUGGUCCAGGCGUUGAGGUCCCACUUGAAUUUCAUGUCCCCCUGCGGCUCCACGGGGUCCACGAUCAUCUUCAGGGCGCGGUGGAGCUGGAAAUAAAUCUGGGGGGGGGGCACGGGGGCACGGGGGGGGGGGGUGUGGCCACCAGGGGGGGGGCCCCAGCAAAGGGGGGGGGGCGCAGGUGGCACCUAUCAUGCUGGGGGGACAUCAAGGGGACACGUGGGAGAACCCCAAGGGCGCCAGUCACGCUGGGGGGACACCAAGGGGACAUGUGGCAGCCCCCCAGGGCCACUUGUCACCUCGUGGGGACAUCAAGGGGACGUGUGGCAGGACACCAAGGCCACUUGUCAUCUCGUGGGGACCCCAGGAGGACACGUGGCUGCCCCCCAGGGCCACUUGUCACCUCGUGGGGACCCCAUGGGGACAAGUGGCAGAGCCCAAAGGCCACUUGUCACCUCAUAGGGACCCCAGAAGGACACAUGGCAGUGCCCCAAGGCCACUUGUCACCUUGUGGGGACAUCAAGGGGACAUGUGGCGGGACACCAAGGCCAUUUGUCACCUCGUGGGGACCCCAUGGGGACAAGUGGCAGAGCCCCAAGGGCACCCAUCACACUGGGGGGACCCAAAGGAGACGCGUGGCAGCACCCCAAGGCCACUUGUCACCUUGUGGGGACAUCAAGGGGACACGUGGCGGGACACCAAGGCCACUUGUCACCUUGUAGGGACCCCAGGAGGACACGUGGCAGCCCCCCAGGGCCACUUGUCACCUCGUGGGGACCCCAUGGGGACAAGUGGCAGUGCCCCAAGGCCACUUGUCACCUUGUGGGGACACCAAGGGGACACAUGGCAGCACCCCAAGGCCACUUGUCACCUCGUGGGGACGCCAAGGGGACGUGUGGUGGGACACCAAGGCCACUUGUCACCUUGUGGGGACACCAAGGGGACGUGUGGCAGGACACCAAGGCCACUUAUCACCUCAUGGGGACACGUGGCUGCACCCCAAGGCCACUUGUCACCUUGUGGGGACCCCAGGAGGACACAUGGCAGUGCCCCAAGGCCACUUGUCACAUCUUGGGGACACCAAGGGGACACGUGGCAGGACACCAAGGCCACUUGUCACAUAUUGGGGACCCCAAGGGGACACAUGGCAACACCCCAAGGCCACUUGUCACCUCAUGGGGACACGUGGCUGCACCCUAAGGCCACUUGUCACCUCGUGGAGACCCCAGAGGACACGUGGCAGCCCCCCAGGGCCACUUGUCACCUCGUGGGGACACCAAGGGGACAUGUGGCGGGACACCAAGGCCACUUGUCACCUUGUAGGGACCCCAGGAGGACACAUGGCAGUGCCCCAAGGCCACUUGUCACCUUGUGGGGACAUCAAGGGGACAUGUGGCAGGACACCAAGGCCACUUGUCACCUUGUGGGGACACCAAGGGGAUGUGUGGAAGGACACCAAGGCCACUUGUCACCUCAUGGGGACCCCAAGGGGACACAUGGCAGCCCCCCCAGGGCCACUUGUCACCUCGUGGGGACCCCAUGGGGACAAGUGGCAGUGCCCCAAGGCCACUUGUCACCUUGUGGGGACACCAAGGGGACAUGUGGCAACCCCCCAGGGCCACUUGUCACAUCUUGGGGACACCAAGGGGACAUGUGGCAGGACACCAAGGCCACUUGUCACCUCGUGG
rnacentral:lncRNA from 1 species